rnacentral:rRNA from 1 species
UACAGAGGGGGCAAGCGUUGUUCGGAAUUACUGGGCGUAAAGGGCGCGUAGGCGGCCUUCUAAGUCGAACGUGAAAUCCCCGGGCUCAACCCGGGAACUGCGUCCGAUACUGGAAGGCUUGAAUCCGGGAGAGGGAUGUAGAAUUCCAGGUGUAGCGGUGAAAUGCGUAGAUAUCUGGAGGAACACCGGUGGCGAAGGCGACAUCCUGGACCGGUAUUGACGCUGAGGCGCGAAAGCCAGGGAGCAA